GUAUGAGGUGUGAAUAGCACAGUGCUUUCUCCCCUUCAUGCUGGUCAUACUCUGCUACCUCCUGAUCUUGAUGCAGGACUCUUAUGAUUCCCAUACAACCAUCUCAUAUCAAAGCCAAGUGGAUAAUACCCCAUAUACAUCAUCAUCACAGGGAAACAUUCAGGCUAGAAUCCAACAACGCAAACACCAGCCAGAAAGCUGCUGUUUUCUUCUUAACACUUGUUAUCAGUGAGCUGUGUAUGCUUGGGGAGCAAAGCACGGUGACAGUGCCUUGUCACACUGGCAAGACAGGAUCGUGUUCAGGACUGCGUAAGGUGAAGAGCACAAGGCUCCGGUUUGCAUCUGCCUGUGCUCCAGGAAGCUGGGAGUUUGUUGAAGAUGGAUCUGCACAUGGGCAUCUCUGCAAAUUGCCUGGGAAACGGCUCCCUUCACCAGGUACUGAGGAAAGUUUGCUCUAUUUUGCUGGAAAGAAAUGUAAAUAAAGGUUCUGCUGAUACCAUAGGAGCGCUCAGCAGGCUCAUCACUCCCUACAGCACUAACAUCCAAGCUGAAAAGACUGCGUUUAUGUUCAAAGAGGUAGGAGAAAUAUAGGAUGAGGCAGCUUAUACGUGUAGUGAUUCUAGGAGUAUGUUAGGCGAGAACUGACUUGGUUUCUCCUGCGCUUUGCUCACAUGUGCAAGCCAUGAGACAGCU
rnacentral:lncRNA from 1 species